rnacentral:antisense_RNA from 1 species
GGUAUCCAAAAAUGGUUGCAGGGUUUCCAGUAGGAUUUGUAAUAACUCUUACAUCUCCACCUCCUGGUGCCCAAGUAUCAUAAACACCGCCAAAAUACAUAGCUUUUCCUACUAGUAGUAGAGCACCAGCACCUAAAAGAAUAAGAUGAAUACCAAGAAUGGUAGUCAUUUUAUUUUUAUCUUUCCA